rnacentral:rRNA from 1 species
GAUGAACGCUAGCAGCAGGCUUAAUACAUGCAAGUCGAGGGGCAGCACAGAUAGCAAUAUUGGGUGGCGACCGGCAAACGGGUGCGGAACACGUACACAACCUUCCUUUUGGUGGGGGAUAGCCUUUGGAAACGGAGAUUAAUACCCCAUAAGAUAUUGGGACCGCAUGGUUUUGAUAUUAAAGAUUUAUUGCCAGAAGAUGGGUGUGCGUAUGAUUAGGUAGUUGGUGAGGUAAAGGCUCACCAAGCCGACGAUCAUUAACUGGUGUGAGAGCACGACCAGUCACACGGGCACUGAGACACGGGCCCGACUCCUACGGGAGGCAGCAGUAAGGAAUAUUGGUCAAUGGACGGAAGUCUGAACCAGCCAUGCCGCGUGGAAGAUGAAGGUCCUCUGGAUUGUAAACUUCUUUUAUAUGGGGCGAAAAAGGGCCAUUCUUGGUCAACUGACGGUACCAUAUGAAUAAGCACCGGCUAACUCCGUGCCAGCCGCCGCCGUAAAAC